GAUGAACGCUGGCGGCGUGCCUAAUACAUGCAAGUCGAGCGAACGGACGAGAAGCUUGCUUUUCUGAUGUUAGCGGCGGACGGGUGAGUAACACGUGGAUAACCUACCUAUAAGACUGGGAUAACUUCGGGAAACCGGAGCUAAUACCGGAUAAUAUUUUGAACCGCAUGGUUCAAAAGUGAAAGACGGUCUUGCUGUCACUUAUAGAUGGAUCCGCGCUGCAUUAGCUAGUUGGUAAGGUAACGGCUUACCAAGGCAACGAUGCAUAGCCGACCUGAGAGGGUGAUCGGCCACACUGGAACUGAGACACGGUCCAGACUCCUACGGGAGGCAGCAGUAGGGAAUCUUCCGCAAAGGGCGAAAGCCUGACGGAGCAACGCCGCGUGAGUGAUGAAGGUCUUCGGAUCGUAAAACUCUGUUAUUAGGGAAGAAUAUAUGUGUAAGUAACUGUGCACAUCUUGACGGUACCUAAUCAGAAAGCCACGGCUAACUACGUG
rnacentral:rRNA from 1 species